GCCAGUGUCUCAUACUUGUUGAAUCAAAGAAAAUGAGUGCUGCUUCACAGCGCCGCCCCAUUCCCUGCUCACAGCACCAGUCCUCCAGGGCAGUCAGGGUUUGGUGUAGUACAUGGGGACAAAUAUUUGACAGGCAGGCCCCACGUACCAGCCUGCCAACCACUGUGCAUUGGUGCUGUGAGUGGUGAUUAGAGCGCUGCAGUGAAGCUUUUUCCAAAGAAUAUCUAUUGGUGGAACAUUGCAUACUGGUUGUGGUAUAAUCAAACUAAAGAUUUUAAUGAAGGCAUGGCAUGGCACAUACCACUACUCUUAUUAUCCAACAAAAACAACAAAAAAUGAGAUUUGGAUUAGAAUGCAGUAGUUUUGGCUAAACAAAAUUUCCAUCUUAAUAAAACCAUCAACAUUUGAGAUAUCACGUUGUGUGCCUCAUGCAGGUGAUAUCCAGUUAAUUGAUGAGAUGGCUGUGGAACAGAUUAUCGUUUUAGAAUAAAAAAAAGACCUAAAUUGUUAAGGUCUAGAUAUUGUGACAUCUAAAACAAUAGUGGGAACAAAAAUGAGAACAACACUGUGAUCAAAAUUGAUAGACAUGAGAUAUCCCCAACAUGGUUAUUUUUUGAUAUAUGAAAUGUACUACAUAGUAGAAUUAAUGAUAAGAAGAAAAAUAUCUAUUAUACAUUAGGGCGUGUGGGAGUUUAAGCAAUCAUUGCAUUUCUUCUUUUCUGGCACACAGUCAUUGCAUAUCUUUGAUUUCAAGGAAAACAACAUAGUGGUAACACUACCAUGUUGUGUGCUUUAGGAUAGGGACAUCAUAGAUUAAGAAUAUUUAACUGGAUAUAUCAUAAAAUUAUAAAGGAUAUAAUCAAUAUUUAGUACAAAAUUGGAAGUUAAUUCCCUUGAUAAAGGAUAUCGAUUGGAGAAUAUUCCAAGACAUUAUGAAGCAAGGUUUACCAUACCAUAGUGAAUGUACCAUAUAGAACCUGUAUGCAGACUCAUACUAUACCAAUACUUGAUAUGCCUCACCAUCUCGUACCGUACCGCAUACCAAUACUGUAAUAGGAUGGUAUCGGUAUGGGGUUUAGUACCAAGAUGGCAAACAUUGUUACAAAGUAUGUACCAAAGUAGGAUUAGAGGAUAGAAUUAGAAUAGCGAUGACAACAUGAUAACUGGUAAACUAAAAACUUGCAUUGACAAAAGAAUGCAUUUCAGUCCAAAUAGUUAGAGUAAGGCUUGUUGACUUUAGUAGUGGCUGAAGCUCCUAAAAGAUAGGCUAAAUUUGUUGGAUGUUGACAUUCUUUCAGCAUAAUCUUCAAAGUAUCAUCUUAUGCAAAUAACCACCAGCUUAAAGGACCUCAAGAGAAUACAGAUAAGAGCAAACAUGAAUAGACUGAAUUUCAUCGACAUCUGCAGAUACGAAGGAAUAUGUAUUAUUCUAAUCUAGACAUCUUUCAUGGCUUUAUAAUGAAGAAUGAUUAUACAUUGAAUUUUUAAAAGUAUGAUCAGACUCAAAUAAAAUUUAAUUUUGAGAUCAUAUUAUAUCAUGCAUGGUCUAAUAUACAUGAAUCCCCCAAUCUUUUCAAGAGUUCCUCUUCCCUGCUCCCACAGCAGCUCCUGAUUCAGGUAUCAAAAUUUCCAUCAUUACAAAUUUAUGGUGAACUUUUAUAUUUUCUGACAUAAGGGAAGCUUCUAUUUUAAGUCAACAAAAUGAAGAAAGAUAAUUGGGAAGAAUUAUGUCAGAAGAUGAGCUCUGUGAUUUGCCAUAAAGUGUGCAAAGAAGGAAUUGCCAGGCUUUGUCUUGAUGUCUGAACCACAGACAAUUUAGCAAAUAAUGCAAGUUUUGAAAUCAAAUUCUUAAAUGAAAUGCUACAGUUGCAAGCUAUUUCUGCAUAUAACAUAAUAUAUUUAUGUGAAAUGCAAUGUUCCUGACUCACCUAAUUAUACAUGAUUGAACUGCAUCAAAGAAAAAAGAAAAAGGGAAUCACUCACCAUCGAAAAUAGUCACUUCUAAUGCCCAAAGGUGCAGCAAGCAAGAUAUCUGUAAUCCAAGGAGACAAUGGCCGCAAUGGUUUCCGAUCAUGCUCCUGCAGGAGUGAACUGGAGGCUUCUUUCUCCCUGGAGUCACUUGUGGUGGCAUGAUUGCUACAGCUGCUUCCAUCCACUUCACUACUAUGAUGCUCAGACUUGUAAAUUGGUCGAUUAUAGUGAGUAAGCACCCGAAGAAUUUCCCCACAUGCUAAAGCCCAUUGUUCAUUAUAAUCUUUCUGCAAUUAGAAGCAACAAAUAUAGAUGAUAACAUGCAUAGAACAAAACAAAUGCUUGAAUGCGUUCAUUGCAACUAACAGAUUAUGAUUUUAGAAUCAAAUGGUGCCACAUGUAGUUAAAUACAUCAGACUGCUGAAAAAGAAAACUAACACAACAAAUAAUCAAGAAUGACUUACCUCAUUAUUUUGGCUGAAUAGAGAUAUAAAAGAACUAAAUGGAGGAUCAUUUUUAUCAUAAACCAAUGUCCCAUCAAUUAUACGUGAAAGAAUAGGAUGGACGAUAGCAUGGCCAUGCUCUGGAUGAUGAAGAACAAAUAUUGCUGGAAUACAAAGUAAUAAAUAGUAAAGAUCAGCAAGUUGUUUCAACACUACAGAAAAAAAAGGCAUAUGAUCAAGCUGUCUCUACUAUAUCAGCUGAUUAAUAGGAGUAUGAUUCCAGUACCCAAUACGUCAUCCAAUAGGCGCUUUUCUUUAGAUGGAUAAUAAUUCUGGAUUAGCUGCACGGGUAAAAUCAAGAAGCAGGUGAAGAUAAGUUGUUUAAGCAUCAUUUUGUUCAUACAAAUUUAUGUUUUAUCAGUAAGCUCAUUAUGAUUUCAUAAGAUUACUGAUAUAAGCUCAUCUCAUGCCAAAUUCUCCUAACAUGUUUUGCUAGUUGACAACCACCUAUACAAAACUAAAAGGUCCAUACCUGAGCUACAUCUUCUGGGAACUGCUCCGAGAUGAACUGACCAAAAUAUUCAACAUAGGCCACAAUUUGUGCCUUACAAAAUUGCACAAAGCAUAUCAGUUUUUGGAGAAAAGAAAAAUGAGAAAAAAAUUUAGAAGAUGGCUUGACACAAAAUAUAAAGUAUACAUGCAAUAUCUAUAAAGGAAGAGCUAUUUGUUCUAAAAGCAAGUAUUAAAUUAGGUUGCCCCCAUUAAUGCCAAAUCAUAAAUUCAGAAUACAACUUCAGAUUUCAGCAGAAUAGAAGAAACUCAAAGAGAUGAAGUUUCAGCCUGAAAAGGACAUAAAUGACAAAAAGCAGAAGCUUUGCAUGUUUGCAUUUCUAUCAGUUAAGGGACAAUGUGCAUGUCAGGUUAGAUGUUUAUAACACAAAUUCAUUUGAGAAAAGGAAACGAAACCAAUAUCGAUAUCCUGGCAUGUAAUAGAACUAUAAAAGUUUUCUCCCCUGAAGAGUUGUUUUCCUAUGGAAUGCAAGACAGAGUUGAAGAAGGCAUGUCUAAAUAUCACACUUAUUUUUUUCAAAAAAAAAAAGAAGAAACCUCCUAUAAUUAAGUAAUGGUGAGAAAAGUUAACUAUUCAAUAUUCUGCAGCAUCAGAAAUAACCACGAUAAGUGUGGAAAACAUAAGCAAAUUAAGCACCUUACAGAAGAAUAGAGAAAAGAGACAGCUAUACUUCCUAGCAUCAAUAAAACAUAGUUGCAUAAAACACCAGAUUUAUUUUACUUUUAUUUGCACCUGGAUUGCCAUGGGUGUAAAUAAAUCAAGAUUCCAUCUUCAAUAUAGUGCUUACUAUUAUUAUUGUAGGAAAAUGCGUGAAAGCUAAAUCUUGAUUCCCAACUUGCAUAUGUAUUGGUCAUUUAAAGGGAUGAUUUAGGAUAACAAUAAUAGACAAGACAUAAGAGGGUGAGCCUUGAUGCAAUGGUAAGGUUGCUCAAUUGUGACCUAGAGGUCAUGCAUGCAAAACACAGAAAUAGCUUUUCUGUAUAUGGGGGUAAGGCUGCAUACAUCUAACCUAAACCCCACAAUGUUGGGAGCUUUAUGCAUUUGCUGCCCUUUUUAACAACCAACAAGACAUGAAAAGAGAUGAUGAGAGUAAGACAAGGUAAAAAGAAGAUGAAAGGAGGAGAGCAGAACCACAAAAGAAAGUUUACAAAGAAACAAAGAGGGGAAAGAUCAGAUAUAAGAAUACUCCACACUUUCACAUAUCAUUUAUUGUUAUCAUGAACGAACAUUAGGGAGGUGGCAAACUCCAAGUUCACCUUUGGUACCCAGCCACUUAAGGUUACAAAAUAUUAGUACUUGGACCUGCCUUGUACAUGCCAUCAUCAAGUAUAGUGCGCCAUGACAACGAUUUGCCACACAAAAGCAUCUGGGAUACUAAAAUUUAUAUAUAGUUAAAAUAUUAAUUAAAAAAACACAAACACAUACAUUACAAGAAUGCCUCAGAGUCCAGCACGCUUGCUGGAGUAUAAGAUUUUCCAUUAUACGUAAGAAGAUGCGAGCUAGGGGUUCAAAACAAUCUAUGAUGUGACCAAGCAACCUAAUACGUGAACACAUUAAAUUCAGCAAUGUAGACAAUAACAAUUGCAAUCAUUGUACCAGAGCUCCUCUCUUGCUGGCACAAAGUUGCUUCCACACACUAGCAUCAUACACAUAACUCAGAAGUGAAUUCAUUAAGAACAUUUGUAAGAAAGGAAAAAAUUGUUUCGUUACGAAUUUCUGUUCUAUCAUUUUAUUUUACCUUUUUAUAUAUGCAAUUCUUGGAUUUCUGUAGAUGUUUUUAUUUGCCUUUUCUUUUUACAUAUGCAAUACUAGGCCAGUUGACUGUUUUAUUCACAUUUCACAUGCCAAAACCCUCUAGAUAAAGACAUUUUGUAGUUCUAUGUUGGAUUUAUUUUUGUUCAACAUCCCAUACUAUAGCAAGUAGAUAUUUUCUCCAUAGCAAAAACUAAAUGCUGAUGUGGAUAAUGUGAAGCCAGGGUACUUAAUCAAGUGGAAGCUUCAAGAGUUAUACAAAAAAUUGGCUUGUAUUGAAGAUAGAAAUAAUCAAGAUUGGCUAUGCUGGUAUCAAGACCCAUACCGGUUGGCCAACGGCACAAUUCGGUGUGCCCCCAUGCUAUUCCAUGUCGAGCCCAAACUAACACAAUAGAGCAAAGGGGGGAGAGAGAGAAUUAGAGAAAGGAAGAGAGAGAGGGGGGGAGGGAGAGGGAGGGAAGGAGAGGGAGACAUUAGAGACAUCGACAACUGCGGGGAAAUUUUGGGCCAUCCGACAGCCUCCGUGCCACCUUCCCCUCCCUCCUCUUCUCUCCCUUCCCCUCUAUCUAUCUCUACUCUUAUUUUCUCUCACGGAGGACUACAGAGCCUGGAAGGCCUCUGCUGCCCUUCGGUGGCUACUGCUGGUAUCUCCGCUGGCCUCCUUUUUCUUCACUCCCUCUCUCUUUCUCUCUCUUUUCUUCUUGGUUUAUUCCUCAUUUUUAUGUCGAUUUAGGCCCGGUACAAUUGGAUAUGAAGGCGUAUCAACUCGUACUACCAGACGAUCCUUGAUAGAAUCUAUAAAUAGACUCAUUUGGGAUAUAUCCGAACACAUCACAUCCACUCCCUCUUCCUCUUGUGCUCUGUCUCUCAUAGCUCAUUGCUUCCAAGACAAAGACACUACUUUUCUUAAGUACUCGUUUUUCAAGUUUCCACUUUCUUCUUCCUUUUCUAGGCAACUAAAGGAAGUCAUUCAGGUCAAGCCUCCCAGCAAUCGUUCUCGUUAGAGGAGGAUUUGGCUAAGCCCGAUUUUGUGCCUUGGGGAUGAGAUUGAUGUAGACCCAUACGUAAGGAAGCAAAUCACAUUCUUGGGGCAAUGUACAUCACAUGCUUCGAUCCAGACAAGAUCUUUUCUAUCGGAUGAAUUUAUUUUAGUACAUUAUUCUUUUAUAACACUAUUCUAAAAUAAUAAAAACAGCAACAUAGCAAUUUCUAGGUCAUAUUCCUCCAACAUCUUCAGCUUAAUCUUUGUUUAAAGGGAGGCAACUCAGUUAAUCUAAUAAUUGAACCAUGCUUCUGUCGAACACCAACUUGUGAUAAUACUUUAGUACUUUUGCAGAACCCUUGGCGGAUAAUCCUAGAAGAGCUCUUCUAAAAGUAAAAACCCCCAAAUCCUGGCACAUUUUAAGUUUGUAUAGCAGUAUUGCUGACUCAAAUAAGAAAAUCAGAAAUUUUUUUGCUAACAAGAUGAAAAUGUCAGGAUAACUUUCUCUUGUCUCAAAUAAAAAGGCUUACCAGAAUAGAUGUUUAUUAAAGCCAAACUCAUACUAAAUAUAUACACAUGAAACAGGACUAAAGAAAAAUCCAGCAGUGCCCCAAAUAUGAAGAUGUAAAGGUGAAACAAAGAAGGAGAAAAAAGAAGAAAUAUUUAUAAAAUAACAAAUUAAAAUCAAGUG
rnacentral:lncRNA from 1 species